UACGACGUGUUCACUCGUUAAUCGGAAUUACUGGGCGUAAAGCGCGCGUAGGUGGUUCGUUAAGUUGGAUGUGAAAGCCCCGGGCUCAACCUGGGAACUGCAUCCAAAACUGGCGAGCUAGAGUACGGUAGAGGGUGGUGGAAUUUCCUGUGUAGCGGUGAAAUGCGUAGAUAUAGGAAGGAACACCAGUGGCGAAGGCGACCACCUGGACUGAUACUGACACUGAGGUGCGAAAGCGUGGGGAGCACACAGGAUGAGAUAACCCUGUAGUCC
rnacentral:rRNA from 1 species